rnacentral:rRNA from 1 species
AUUGAACGCUGGCGGAAUGCUUUACACAUGCAAGUCGAACGGCAGCACGGGGCAACCUGGUGGCGAGUGGCGAACGGGUGAGUAAUACAUCGGAACGUACCCAAUCGUGGGGGAUAACGUAGCGAAAGUUACGCUAAUACCGCAUACGAUCUACGGAUGAAAGCGGGGGAUCGCAAGACCUCGCGCGAAUUGAGCGGCCAAUGUCAGAUUAGGUAGUUGGUGGGGUAAAGGCUCACCAAGCAAACGAUCUGUAGCUGGUCUGAGAGGACGACCAGCCACACUGGGACUGAGACACGGCCCAGACUCCUACGGGAGGCAGCAGUGGGGAAUUUUGGACAAUGGGCGCAAGCCUGAUCCAGCCAUUCCGCGUGCAGGAUGAAGGCCUUCGGGUUGUAAACUGCUUUUGUACGGAACGAAACGGUUCUCUCUAAUACAGGGGGCUAAUGACGGUACCGUAAGAAUAAGCACCGGCUAACUACGUGCCAGCCGCCGCAGUAACAC